AAAUAAAAUUUAACAUAAUCUAACCAAACGUAAUGACUGUUUGAAAGGGUUCAUCUACAAUUUAGGACAGACUAACUAGUCUGGUGGUUUUACCCUUAGGUCCCUCUGUGCCCCCACUGCCCCUUCUAAGGCAAAGAUCUCUUCUACGACCAUCAUCAUCAUCAGUUCCAUCCAAUUGUGGAGCACCACCUCCUCCCCUUCCUCCUCCAGUCCCUCCACACACUGCUCCCCUAAUACAAGCUUAUGGAAUGAACACAGGAAAGUCGACACUGCUGAGUCAAGUCAAAGAAGGGACCCAGCUAAAGGUGGCGCAAGAAAACUUGCCAGUAUCCAACACCAGAAGUCCGUCUAAUGAUUACGCAUAUCAAUCUGAUCCUACGCUACUGAAGGCCACGGGCAACAUUAAAAGCCCACAGAUCAAUGACUCUCAGGUGAACAACACUGUUUACUCUACCUCCCCUAAGAGGGAGACAGAGGGCAGCAGAAGGCAGUGGGAGAGUGGCACAACAAGCAACGUCCGGUAAG
rnacentral:lncRNA from 1 species